rnacentral:miRNA from 1 species
CUCCACUCGAUUGCACUAUCGGCGACAUGACGUAUAUUAAAUUUAAUAUACGUCAGUUCGCCGAUAGUGCAAUCGAGUGGAG